rnacentral:rRNA from 1 species
AUGCACGCUGGCGGCGUGCCUAAUACAUGCAAGUCGAGCGAACGGACGAGAAGCUUGCUUCUCUGAUGUUAGCGGCGGACGGGUGAGUAACACGUGGAUAACCUACCUAUAAGACUGGGAUAACUUCGGGAAACCGGAGCUAAUACCGGAUAAUAUUUUGAACCGCAUGGUUCAAAAGUGAAAGACGGUCUUGCUGUCACUUAUAGAUGGAUCCGCGCUGCAUUAGCUAGUUGGUAAGGUAACGGCUUACCAAGGCAACGAUGCAUAGCCGACCUGAGAGGGUGAUCGGCCACACUGGAACUGAGACACGGUCCAGACUCCUACGGGAGGCAGCAGUAGGGAAUCUUCCGCAAUGGGCGAAAGCCUGACGGAGCAACGCCGCGUGAGUGAUGAAGGUCUUCGGAUCGUAAAACUCUGUUAUUAGGGAAGAACAUAUGUGUAAGUAACUGUGCACAUCUUGACGGUACCUAAUCAGAGAGCCACGGCUAACUACGUG